rnacentral:lncRNA from 1 species
CCUUGGCCUCCUGUAGUGCUGUGAUUACAGGCAUGAGCCACCGUGCCCAGCCAAGGAACUCAGCUUUCAAGUGGAUCCUAAAUCCACAGAGAUGGAAGGAACAAGGGCUGAAGAGAAGGCCCUCAGGAAACACAAUUUCAACAAAUACUCAGGAUCCUAGACCCCACCAGGCACCAUUCUCUCCACCCACCAAAUCCGGGAAACCCUGGAAGUGUCCCUGGAAGGUGUGAGGAGAGGCCCCAGCCAAGCAAAGGCAGAGUUCUAGGGAGAGAC